UGGGGAAUUUUGGACAAUGGGCGAAAGCCUGAUCCAGCCAUGCCGCGUGCAGGAUGAAGGCCUUCGGGUUGUAAACUGCUUUUGUACGGAACGAAAAGACUCCUUCUAAUAAAGGGGGUCCAUGACGGUACCGUAAGAAUAAGCACCGGCUAACUACGUGCCAGCAGCCGCGGUAAUACGUAGGGUGCGAGCGUUAAUCGGAAUUACUGGGCGUAAAGCGUGCGCAGGCGGUUAUAUAAGACAGUUGUGAAAUCCCCGGGCUCAACCUGGGAACUGCAUCUGUGACUGUAUAGCUAGAGUACGGUAGAGGGGGAUGGAAUUCCGCGUGUAGCAGUGAAAUGCGUAGAUAUGCGGAGGAACACCGAUGGCGAAGGCAAUCCCCUGGACCUGUACUGACGCUCAUGCACGAAAGCGCGGGGAGCAAACA
rnacentral:rRNA from 1 species